AUAUUAAGAAAUUAAAAGAGAUUAUUUAUCCUAAUGUGCAUAAUUUAAUAUGAGAGAGUGCAGUGAAAUAGGUGGCAGAAAGAGAGAAAGGAUCCACCACUGUGUUCUACUCUACUACUAGUCUCUUGCUAGCUACACAUACACAACACUGCUAUAUAGCAGCUCUCUACAUAUCAUAAUAUAAUAUCUGACCUAUACUACUACCCUAUUCCUAUAACACAGCUCUUGAUCAAUCAUCAUGCGUCUGCUAUUCCCUUUAUAGCUUUCUUAGCUGUUCUUACAUUUUGAAUUCAAUUUCUUCCUUUUCUUCCUAACUGUGCAUGUAUAUUUCUUUCCUUUUAAAUUCACUGUUUCACAAGAUGGGUGUUGUCUUUAUGAUUCCUUCUUAACUAUUGUAUCUACCCUCUCUUGUACUAUCCUUUCUUUCUUCCCUAUAUAUAUUCUCCUUAUCUAGAUUCCUUCUUGCACUUGUGUUUGUUUCUAGUAAUACCCUAGUUUUCUACUUUGGCUUUUUCUUUCCUUUGGAUACUUCAAUUUCCUUGUUCUUUCUUAGCUUACAAAUAGUUUUUAAAUUAUGCACCUUCUUUAGUAUAUUUUUCUCCUUCAAGUUAGGGUUUUGAUACUUGCAUCUAUUUGAACUCUUUCAUUUUUUGUGCUUUUCUAUGUGUCUUUGGUUGUUCUUGCUGUAAAAUAUUGAUAUAACCCUAGAGAGUAGUGAAGAAUGAUUCAAGAAAGUUCACAAAGGAAAAAGUGAAGCUGCCAGCAUGAUCUAAGCUUUGGUUAGAGAGCUUUCCUUUGGAUGGAUAGAGAUAACCCUAACCGUGACUAGGUCAUGCUGUGACAGCCUCACUCUUUCCUAUUUUGUGGACCACAUUUUCCAAUCAAAAAUCCUAACGAUCUCUUCCAACAACUGAAAGACACAACAAACUUUAAACAUAAAAGGUGAGUGAAAUUACUGUUAGAAGAAGCAUCUCGUGUUUAUUCCUUUUUCUGUGUUUCUGUUUCUGUUCUGGCAGGCGUGCGUUGUUAUUACCACCUUUUUUGUCUGUCUCUCUACUUUUUCUUUCUCUUGUUAUUUCAUGCCAACCUGGUUUUACUGUUACUUGUUGACUAUUUUUAAUAGUUUAUUGUUAUACUGUCUUUUGCUUUUGUUUACUUCACCUAAAGGGUUAAUGGUCCCUUUGGUUUUUUAGGUCUUGGUUCAUUGUAUCAAUGCUUUUGUUGUUUUUUUUUUUUGUUUUUUUACGUAUGAUAUAUUAUUUUUUAUGUUUUGUUUUAACACAUUAAAUAAUAUACUAGUAACAAUGCUCCAUGUUCUUUACUAAAUGGUUAAAAUCAAUUAUCUGUUAUAGUGUGUUUGAUGGAUUUCCUUGUAGUGUGUUUCCUAAAAGCAGGUUUUGAAGAUUAUUGGAUGCUUGCGGUUCUAAACUUUGGUUUUUAGCUUCAAGUAAUGGUAUAUGGGAGGAAAAAAAUAAAGCUAGGGCUUUGAUCUACAAUAUGAAACCUUGUUUUUCACCAUUUUCUUGUAUGGUGUUUAAAGCUUAAUUUUCCUUUAUAAGCAAAGAGAACAUGAAUUAACUAUACCGUGUUCAUGCAAAUGUUGGUGAGUUUUGUUGGUGUUUUCUGUAGCUUUUUCUGGUGAAGUGAUAGUUCAAAAUGUAGCCAUUGUUACUGUUAUUUAUAUUCCAUUUUUCAGUUGGAUCUGAAAGUACUAUAUAUAUAGUGAUGAAUUUCAGUUGGACAGUGAAAUUUUUAUUUAUUCCUAAAAAUUGUAGCGAUGAAAUUAAUAAUAAGAAUAUAGAAAAAGUUUAAAAGUAGUACAUAUACAUAGACAUUUAAUCAUAGUUGUUCUUUUAAAUUAGUGUUUAAAAAUAAAAAUGUGAUUGGUUAGUA
rnacentral:lncRNA from 1 species